rnacentral:lncRNA from 1 species
GCUGGAGUGCUGGCGGGCAAGGGCCCAGGGGUGGCCGCCCCAGGUGCGGCUGAGAAGAAGGUGAAGAUGCUGGAGCAGCAGCGCAUGGAGGUGGGUGGCCGCUCAGUCAGGGAGACCCCUGCCCUCCGGGGCCGCGCAGGUUGCGGCCCUGCCUGGCCCCCAAGCCCCGGCUGCCAUCCUCCUGGUCUGCCCACAGCCCCACAGCGUCACUCUGAGGCCCGGAAGCCUGGGAGGCUGGGGGGCUCCCCUGAUGAGCUGUGGAUGGAGGAGGUGAUGGCAGAGGAGCUUCUGGUGGGGGCUCCCGUCUGCCCCGGAGUGUCCCGAGUUCCAGCUCUCCCCUUGCCUCGCAUCCAGCACAGGCCGCCCUGGGCCCAGGGCAAAGCCCACGCCUUCUGUUGGUGAAACGUGACUUUUGAUACAGGCCCGAUGGUGACUGUGUCUAGGGUUAGGGGAGCGUGCAGGGGCAGAUACGGAGGGAGCCCUUGGAGGAGCCUGGGGCGUUUGAGAAGUCCGCCCGCUGCACGCACUGCACUGCGGGAAGCUGGUGUGCAGGAUGAGGAGUCGACCCUCUCCGUCCUUCCCUGCUUCUAACCCAGCUCUUCCCUCAGCUGCUGGAGGUGAACAAGCAGUGGGACCAGCACUUCCGCUCCAUGAAGCAACAGUAUGAGCAGAAGGUACUGUGGGCCUCCUGGGGUGCCCGCGGGGCGUCUUCAUCUUGCUGCUUUGAGGGAGGCCCAGCGGAGACUCGGGUGGUGGUCGGUGGUCGGGCCGGUGAAGACGAGCCUGGCCCCCUGCCCUCACCGCUCCCUCCUGCUGCCUCCACCCAGAUCACCGAGCUGCGCCAGAAGCUGGGGGACCUGCAGAAGCAGGUGGCAGACCUGGAGGCCGAGCGGGAACAGAAGCAGCGUGACUUUGACCGAAAGCUCCUGCUGGCCAAGUCCAAGAUUGAAAUGGAGGAGACCGACAAAGAGCAGCUGACUGCGGAGGCCAAGGAGCUGCGCCAGAAGGUCAAGCACCUGCAGGACCAGCUGAGCCCCCUCACCCGGCAGCGCGAGUACCAGGAGAAGGAGAUCCAGCGGCUCAACAAGGCCCUGGAGGAAGCACUGAGCAUCUGCACCUCCCCAUCAUCCCCAGCAGCGUUCGGGAGCCCAGAAGGGGCCGGCAGCCUCCUAAGGAAGCAGGAGCUGGCCACACAGAAUGAGUUGCUGAAGCAGCAGGUGAAGAUCUUUGAGGAGGACUUCCAGAGGGAGCGCAGUGACCGGGAGCGCAUGAACGAGGAGAAGGAGGAGCUGAAGAAGCAGGUGGAGAAGCUGCAGGCCCAGGUCACCUUGUCAAACACCCAGCUGAAAGCAUUGAAAGAGGAGGAGAAGGCAAAAGAAGCCCUGAGACAGCAGAAGAGGAAAGCCAAGGCCUCGGGAGAGCGCUACCAUGCGGAGCCCCACGCAGAGCACAUCUGCGGGGCCUACCCCUAUGCCUACCCGCCCAUGCCAGCCAUGGUGCCGCAUCACGGCUACGAGGACUGGUCCCAGAUCCGCUACCCCCCGCCCCCCAUGGGCAUGGACCACCCGCCCCCGAUCCCAGGCUCACGCCUCUACCAUCUGGUGAGUCUGCCCCUCCCCGGGGCGCUGGAGACCCUUGCUAGGGAGCGAGAUCUGUGA